CCUACGGGAGGCAGCAGUGAGGAAUAUUGGUCAAUGGCCGUAAGGCUGAACCAGCCAAGUAGCGUGAGGGAAGACUGCCCUAUGGGUUGUAAACCUCUUUUGUGCGGGGAGAAAGGUGGCCACGUGUGGAUGUUUGCAGGUACCGCAUGAAUAAGGACCGGCUAAUUCCGUGCCAGCAGCCGCGGUAAUACGGAAGGUCCGGGCUUUCUCCGGAUUUAUUGGGUUUAAAGGGAGCGUAGGCCGGUCUUUAAGCGUGCCGUGAAAUUUUGUGGCUCAACCAUGAGAGGGCGGCGCGGACUGGAGACCUUGAGUGCGCGUCAGUCAGGCGGCCUUCGUGGUGUAGCGGU
rnacentral:rRNA from 1 species